rnacentral:rRNA from 1 species
AUUGAACGCUGGCGGCAUGCCUUACACAUGCAAGUCGAACGGCAGCACGGGUGCUUGCACCUGGUGGCGAGUGGCGAACGGGUGAGUAAUACAUCUGAACAUGUCCUGUAGUGGGGGAUAGCCCGGCGAAAGCCGGAUUAAUACCGCAUACGAUCUACGGAUGACAGCGGGGUACCUUCGGGCCUCGCGCUAUAGGGUUGGCCGAUGGCUGAUUAGCUAGUUGGUGGGGUAAAGGCCUACCAAGGCGACGAUCAGUAGCUGGUCUGAGAGGACGACCAGCCACACUGGGACUGAGACACGGCCCAGACUCCUACGGGAGGCAGCAGUGGGGAAUUUUGGACAAUGGGCGAAAGCCUGAUCCAGCAAUGCCGCGUGUGUGAAGAAGGCCUUCGGGUUGUAAAGCACUUUUGUCCGGAAAGAAAUACUUGGCCCUAAUACGGUCGGGGGAUGACGGUACCGGAAGAAUAAGCACCGGCUAACUACGUG